CAUGCAGUCGAGCGGUAGCACAGAGAGCUUGCUCUCGGGUGACGAGCGGCGGACGGGUGAGUAAUGUCUGGGAAACUGCCUGAUGGAGGGGGAUAACUACUGGAAACGGUAGCUAAUACCGCAUAACGUCGCAAGACCAAAGUGGGGGACCUUCGGGCCUCAUGCCAUCAGAUGUGCCCAGAUGGGAUUAGCUAGUAGGUGGGGUAAUGGCUCACCUAGGCGACGAUCCCUAGCUGGUCUGAGAGGAUGACCAGCCACACUGGAACUGAGACACGGUCCAGACUCCUACGGGAGGCAGCAGUGGGGAAUAUUGCACAAUGGGCGCAAGCCUGAUGCAGCCAUGCCGCGUGUAUGAAGAAGGCCUUCGGGUUGUAAAGUACUUUCAGCGAGGAGGAAGGCGUUAAGGUUAAUAACCUUGUCGAUUGACGUUACUCGCAGAAAAAGCACCGGCUAACUCCGUGCCAGCAGCCGCGGUAAUACGGAGGGUGCAAGCGUUAAUCGGAAUUACUGGGCGUAAAGCGCACGCAGGCGGUCUGUUAAGUCAGAUGUGAAAUCCCCGGGCUCAACCUGGGAACUGCAUUUGAAACUGGCAGGCUUGAGUCUUGUAGAGGGGGGUAGAAUUCCAGGUGUAGCGGUGAAAUGCGUAGAGAUCUGGAGGAAUACCGGUGGCGAAGGCGGCCCCCUGGACAAAGACUGACGCUCAGGUGCGAAAGCGUGGGGGAGCAAACAGGAUUAGAUACCCUGGGAGUCCACGCUGUAAACGAUGUCUACUUGGAGGUUGUUCCCUUGAGGAGUGGCUUCCGGAGCUAACGCGUUAAUCGACCGCCUG
rnacentral:rRNA from 1 species